rnacentral:rRNA from 1 species
GGGGGCAACCCUGACCAAGCAACGCCGCGUGGGUGAUGAAGUAUCUCGGUACGUAAAACCCGUUUCGACGGGGAAGAAACCGCAAGGUUGACGGUACCCGUAGAAGAAGCCCCGGCUAACUCCGUGCCAGCAGCCGCGGUAAUACGGGGGGGGCAAGCGUUGUUCGGAAUUACUGGGCGUAAAGGGCGCGUAGGCGGUUUGCUAAGUUGGAUGUGAAAACUCUGGGCUUAACCCAGAGCCUGCAUUCAAAACUGACAGGCUAGAGUUCUGGAGGGGAUAGCGGAAUUCCUGGUGUAGCGGUGAAAUGCGUAGAUAUCAGGAGGAACACCGGUGGCGAAGGCGGCUAUCUGGACAGAAACUGACGCUGAGGCGCGAAAGCUAGGGGAGCAAACAGGAUUAGAUACCCUGGUAGUCCUAGCCCUAAACGAUGGAUACUUGCUGUAGCUGGGAUUGAAUCCAGCUGUGGCGAAGCUAACGCAUUAAGUAUCCCGCCUGGGGAGUACGGUCGCAAGGCUG